AGUCUGCUGCACACUCUUCCCACCUCCUAAGAGACUGGUCAUAGGCUACAGAUAUCCCAGGCAGGACAUGAGGGGAGACAAGCCCAAUGUCCUGCUGCCUGAGGCCUAGGUCCCAGAAGCAGGAAGCCUGUGCCUGUGUCACAUAGAGAAUUAAAAGUCUCUGAUGAUCCUGUUCUUCUUCUAGACAGGCAGUCCACCAUGGGGGCUGGUUCUUAGCAUAACCACCUGACCUGCCCCCAGGCCACCAGAGGGUGCCAUCCUCGAAACACCUCCCCAGUGGCAUGCAUGGAGGCGGACAGGACCUGUCGGGAGGGAGCAGGCUGAUUCUGAGGCUCUUCACUCCUUUCCAUGCUGACCGCAGAUCCACCCCCAACCUCAGAAAGAAGGUCAAAUGAAGACCUGACUCGCUGCAGGAAACCAGCCAUGCCUCUAACCUUGGCUUUGCCCUUGGCUUCCUGCCUGCCCCAAGAACACCCCUGACUGUUCUCCAGUGCAUCUCGAUUCUACCAUAGCCUGGGGAGACAGCCAAGCUCUUUGCCAUGGCAUCGGCCUCCCUUUCCCUUUUGUUGGAGAAAGAAAAAAACGAAGGAAAGAUGAGCAACAUCUCUCUCCCCGCCAUCUCCUCAUUCUCUUCCUCAGUUUCUUACGAGUGAAAUCACCCAAGAUAUAAAUAACACAUUCUAAAUAAAGCCAUGUUUGACUGCAGCACAAGACAUAUCUGUGUACGCAUGUGACUGUCAGCCUCCAGUGGAAGUCAUGUUUGUGUAAUUAAUUUUCCUAGCAUCCGAGGAAAGAGACAGGCAGUCCUGUGGUCCGCCCUGCCCUGCUGCUCCCCAAACACUGAGAGAACGCUGCGCUUCGCUCUCGCCGAGUGACUGGUGCGCAGGGAUGGCUUUUGUUCCCAUGCAGUUCCUGUGCUUGGGACCUUUAUUUCUCAAUUACUGCAGAUGGAAAGAAAGGCUUCGAGGCUGUCUUUGUAAGAGUGGGUUUCUAAGUCAGUGGUGACGAUUUGCUGGGCUGGGGUGAUGAUCAGAGGGUAAAGUACUUACUGUUCCUGAAGACCUGCGUUCAGUUUCCAGCAGUCACAGACACACAGAGAACAGCACGUCAGUAGCCCCGGUGCUAGGCAAAGGAGAGAGUGGAUCCCAGAGACUUGCUAGCCAGCCGGUUCAAUGAAACAGGAGAGCUCCAGGCUCAGCGACACAUCCUGUCUUAAAAGAUGUAAGUUGGCAAGUGAUGGAAGACCCGUGAAGUGGCCUGCACACAUGCAAGCAUGGAUGUGUACCCCCUCACCCCACACAAGACAGCAAACCAUGUUGAAUGAUGCCGUUCCUUAGCAUGCCUCCUGCUCCUUCAACAACAUGCAUGAUUUUUGCUGCGGAAGCCAUCCUUUAGUAGGAGAGCGUCAUCUGGACAUAAACUCGCCUGUUUUUAUUUAAUUUGGAUUUUUGAGACAGAGUUUCUCUGUGUAGGCCUAAUGAUCCUGGAACCCACUCUGUAGACCAGGCUAGCCUUGAACUGUCCACUGUGGAGUAAAAAACUGGGUUCUCAUGUCGGCUUGGGGCUAGGGCCGCUGGGCGAGUUGGACACAGGAAGUUUGACUGUGCUGCAGACCCCACGGAACAGCCGGGCAGGCAUUGGACUGUGAGAAGCCAUGGGAUCACGCUUCGGGGGUGAGGAAAAGGCGCAGUCUGGGGUCCCCAUGGAACUGCAGGAGUCAGGCUCUGACUCUCGGGCACCACAGACUGCUUGGCACCGCGGACGAGCUGGUUUUGGGUCCUUGAGCCACAUGGAGGCCAGGGAUGACAGGUUCUCACUCUUGGACAUCUCAGAUGCCACUACUUUACAUAGAUCUGAAUUCUUCAUGUGUACCAUGGUCUUUCUACCAGAAGAAUUUUUAGUAUUUCUUGCAGGAAGUCUCAUGAUCUUGGAAAACUCAGGUGACAGCAGAUGCUGGCGAGGAUGUGGAGAAACAGGAACACUCCUCCAUUGCUGGUGGGAAUGCAAACUGGUACAACCAUUCUGGAAAGCAGUCUGGCGGUUCCUCAGAAAUUUGGACAUAGUACUACUGGUGGAUCCAGCAAUUCCAUUUCUGGGCAUAUACCCAGAAGAUGUUCCAACUUGUAAUAAGGACACAUGCUCCACUAUGUUCAUAGCAGCCUUAUUUAUAAUAGCCAGAAGCUGGAAAGAACACAGAUGUCCAUCAACAGAGGAAUGGAUACAAAAAAUGUGGUACAUUUACACAAUAGAGUACUAUUCAGCUAUUAAAAACAAUGACUUCAUGAAAUUCCUAGGCAAAUGAGUGGAUCUGGAGGAUAUCAUCCUUAGUGAGGUAACCCAAUCACAAAAGAACACACAUGAUAUGCACUCACUGAUAAGUGGAUAUUAGCCCAGAAACUAGAAUACCCAAGAUACAAUUUUCAAAACACAUGAAACUCGAGAAGAAGGAAGACCAAAGUGUGAAUAUUUCAUUCCUUCUUAGAAUGGGGAACAAAAUACCCAUGGAAGGAGCUAUAGAGACAAAGUUUGGAGCUGAGAUGGAAGGAAGGACCAUCCAGAGACUGCCCCACCUGGGGAUCCAUCCCAUAAACAACCACCAAACCCAGACACUAUUACAUAUGCCAGCAAGAUUUUGCUGAUAGGACCCUGAUAUAGCUGUCUCCUGUGAGGUUAUGCCAGUGCCUGGCAAAUAUAGAAGUGGAUGCUCAUAGUCAUCUAUUAGAUGGAACACAGGGCCCCCAAUGAAGGAGCUAGAGAAAGUACCCAAGAAGCUAAAGGGGUCUGCAACCCUAUAGGAGGAACAACAAUAUGAACUAACCAGUACCCCCCCCCCCCCCCCCAGAGCUCGUGUCUCUAGCUGCAUAUGUAGCAGAGGAUGGCCUAGUCGGCCAUCAAUGGGAGGAGAGGCCCUUGGUCUUGCAAAGAUCAUAUGUCCCAGUACAGGGGAAUGCCAGGGCUAGGAAGUGGGAGUGGGUGGGUUGGGGAGCAGGGAGGGUAUAGGGGACUUUUGGGAUAACAUUUGAAAUGUAAAUGAAGAAAAUAUCUAAUAAAAAAAAGUUGUUUGAAAAGCAA